rnacentral:rRNA from 1 species
UAACACGUGGGUAACCUGCNAAGANACUGGGAUAACACCUGGAAACAGAUGCUAAUACCGGAUAACAACACUAGACGCAUGUCUAGAGUUUGAAAGAUGGUUCUGCUAUCACUCUUGGAUGGACCUGCGGUGCAUUAGCUAGUUGGUAAGGUAACGGCUUACCAAGGCAAUGAUGCAUAGCCGAGUUGAGAGACUGAUCGGCCACAUUGGGACUGAGACACGGCCCAAACUCCUACGGGAGGCAGCAGUAGGGAAUCUUCCACAAUGGACGAAAGUCUGAUGGAGCAACGCCGCGUGAGUGAAGAAGGGUUUCGGCUCGUAAAGCUCUGCGGCAGUGAAGAAAGAUAGAGGUAGUAACUGGCCUUUAUUUGACGGUNAUYNCUUAGAAAGUCACGGCUAACUACGUGCCAGCAGCCGCGGUAAUACGUAGGUGGCAAGCGUUGUCCGGAUUUAUUGGGCGUAAAGCGAGUGCAGGCGGUUCAAUAAGUCUGAUGUGAAAGCCUUCGGCUCAACCGGAGAAUUGCAUCAGAAACUGUUGAACUUGAGUGCAGAAGAGGAGAGUGGAACUCCAUGUGUAGCGGUGGAAUGCGUAGAUAUAUGGAAGAACACCAGUGGCGAAGGCGGCUCUCUGGUCUGCAACUGACGCUGAGGCUCGAAAGCAUGGGUAGCGAACAGGAUUAGAUACCCUGGUAGU